GAUGAACGCUAGCGGGAGGCCUAACACAUGCAAGUCGAACGGGAUUGGUAGCAAUACCAUGAGAGUGGCGCACGGGUGAGUAACGCGUAUGCAACCUACCUUUAACUGGGGGAUAGCCCGGAGAAAUUCGGAUUAAUACCCCAUAAUAUUGUUUAUCGGCAUCGGUGAGCAAUUAAAGUUCCGGCGGUUAAAGAUGGGCAUGCGUGACAUUAGCUAGUUGGUAAGGUAACGGCUUACCAAGGCUACGAUGUCUAGGGGUUCUGAGAGGAUGAUCCCCCACACUGGUACUGAGACACGGUCCAGACUCCUACGGGUGGCAG
rnacentral:rRNA from 1 species